rnacentral:rRNA from 1 species
UUGCACAAUGGGGGAAACCCUGAUGCAGCCAUGCCGCGUGUGUGUAAGAAGGCCUUCGGGUUGUAAAGCACUUUGAGUAGGGAGGAAGGUAGUGAGUUAACACCUGCAUUAUUUGACGUUACCUACAGAAGAAGCACCGGCUAACUCCGUGCCAGCAGCCGCGGUAAUACGGAGGGUGCGAGCGUUAAUCGGAAUUACUGGGCGUAAAGCGCAUGCAGGCGGCCUGUUAAGUCAGAUGUGAAAGCCCGGGGCUUAACCUCGGAAUUGCAUUUGAAACUGGCAGGCUAGAGUCUUGUAGAGGGGGGUAGGAAUUUCAGGUGUAGCGGUGAAAUGCGUAGAGAUCUGAAGGAAUACCAGUGGCGAAGGCGGCCCCCUGGACAAAGACUGACGCUCAGAUGCGAAAGCGUGGGGAGCAAACAGGAUUAGAUACCCCUGGUAG